AGUAGAGUAAAGUGGGGCAAAAGUUCGAGUGGGGCAAGAGUUUCUUUUGAAGUUUUUGAGCUCAAUUCAAAUUAUUUCUUUCGGGUAUCAAGCAGAGAUGGCAUUUCACCGUAGCGAUUCACUGCGGUGUCAGUUUAUCGACCACACUGGGGAUAGGAACAUUUUUCACCACACCAAGAAGCCAGUUUCUCUUGUUUUGGGUGGUAGGUAGACCAAGCGCUAGUGCGUGCUCUUGCUCGUCCGCCUUGGAUCGAGUGUGGCUCACUCUUUCGCGCGCAUCGCUCUCCGGCGCUCUCCCGUGUUUUCACCCAGCAGUCACCGAAUUAUCACCAUGGUGUCGCCGGGGCGAGAACUCUCCGGCGUUUCACCGCAGCGCG